GCAAUGAUCAAGAGUAGCAUGCUGAUUGGUGCAUGUGAGAGCACUUAAAUGGAGCCAGUUUGGUGCAGAACCAACAGAUGUUGCAAAGCCAAGUAGUAAGCAGGAACAAUUGACCGCAUUUAUCAAUGGCUUGUGACUUGUAUUUGAGGGUGAUUGUGCUCUGGCUGUUAGCCUUUGGACAAGCAAAGGGAGAUGGUGCCACACAUGGAGGUUUUGCUGCUGCUGCUGAGCUGGCUGGGAGCUCCCCUAGAAGCCCAAAAAGUAGUUGGGAUCAACAGCAAUACAGUCAACCUGAGUUGGCUAACCCAGAGCAAAGUGGUUGCCCUAGCUGUAUUUGCCACCCAUGCGACCCUCUCCCUUGCCCUCAGCCUUACUGUGUACCUCUUUUUAGUCCUUGCCCUUGCCUUGCAAAUUGCUGUCAGCGUGGGUGUGCCCCACAUUGGAUUUCUUGGUAGAAUCCCCCAUGGCUGAGCAGGGUUUCAUCUGUUCACUUAAAUGGCAGAAACUGGAAUAAAUUUGUAUACUUGAAUCUA